rnacentral:miRNA from 1 species
CGUGAGUGUUUGCGACGGUUAGC